rnacentral:lncRNA from 1 species
CCGCCGGCCCCUCAUGGGACAGACUGUACGGCCCAGGCUCCUCCGGGCCUGGCCAGCGUGGUUAUUUAUAAGCCCUGGCUGCCUCCAGUGUGCCUGGAUCAGACUGGCUUGUUUGGGUCACCGGUGCCAAGUUUUUUCUUUCUUUUUCUUUUUUUCCAAUAAGAAUCUACGUCUGAGCAUGGACGGAAUCCCAGAAUCAAAUCACUGGAUCAAUACUUGGUCACCAAACACAUUCGAGACCUCAAAAGCUCAAAGGUGAGGUUUUUCUUCCACCUUUCCUCUGGACAAAUGCCUUGACCGUGGGAAGGAAACAGUGGAGCUCUGGGUUGGAGGGGGCGGUGCUCCCAAGAGCAUCUCCCUAAAAUUUGCCCCGAUGGUGUCCUUUCUCAGAGAUGGACAUAUCGAAACUGCUGAGUCAGUCCUGGGGGUGCUGGUGUCACCCUCCCUUUGCUGUUUUAUUUUUUAAUCGUUUCUGCUAUCAAGGUUUACCAUGCUAAGUGAUUUACAUGCAAAAUCGUGUCUCUUCCUUACAACAGGCUGUAGGGUAGGUACCCUUGCUACCUACUCUACCUACAGACAAAGACGCUGAGAAAUCAGAUAACUUGUCCAAGGUCAUGGACAGCUGGGACUAGACCCAUGGCUUGUCACACUCUACCAGCCUUAUUCUUAACCUCUCUGCCUGAUGCCUCUUGACCCACAUUCGACUUUGAAAAAGUUUUCGCACUUGGUUCAUCGGAAAAAGCCACACACAGCUGCCCGGAGGACUCUGUUAAUCAGUAGCUGGUUGCUUCUGGCCCAGUGGGCAACAUCAGAGGCAGAAAGUACAGUACAGAGAGAACCGCAGGCCAGCAGUUGCAUCUGAACCCACGCUCUUCCUCCCAGCCCUUUCCCUUGUCUUGACUCACAACCUAGUGUCCUCAGUAUCGCCCAGCACGUGAGGCAGCCGGUUCACUCCAGCCUUGACCAGGGCCAUCGCGGGAUCAGAGCCUCCUCUGUGAGAAUUAGAAAACAGUAUCUCUUCCUCAAGACCCUUGACUGCUAGGAAAUUGACACCAAAAACAUACAAAUCUACAAUGUCCAGUAUGUAGGUGAUGUGAAUGGCUGUCUCUUCAGUGUGCAGUGUGUACACCCUGCGCACCUAUACAAGGCAGCCCUGUCCAGGCCUCCAGACGUCCCAGUGCCACUGCCUGCUGUCAUGGGGUUCUAAUCUAAAGGGUGAGAUGCCAGUCCCGGGAGAAGGCUAAUGAUGAAAGGUUCCAGGAUAAAGGUUAAUAUACAAAAGUCAAUUACUUUCCUAAUGCCAGCAAUAAAGUGGAAUUUGAAAGUAAAAACAUA